UGAGGGAAUAUUGGGUCAAUGGACGAGAGUCUGAACCAGCCAAGUAGCGUGCAGGAUGACGGCCCUCCGGGUUGUAAACUGCUUUUAGUUGGGAAUAAAAAAGGUGACGUGUCAUCUAUUGUAUGUACCAUCAGAAAAAGGACCGGCUAAUUCCGUGCCAGCAGCCGCGGUAAUACGGAAGGUCCAGGCGUUAUCCGGAUUUAUUGGGUUUAAAGGGAGCGUAGGCGGAGAGAUAAGUCAGCGGUCAAAUGUCAGGGCCCAACCUUGGCAUGCCGUUGAUACUGGCGGCCUUGAGUUCACACAAGGAAGGUGGAAUUCGUCGUGUAGCGGUGAAAUGCUUAGAUAUGACGAAGAACUCCGAUUGCGAAGGCAGCCUUCUGGGGUGUUACUGACGCUGAGGCUCGAAAGUGCGGGAAUCAAACAGGAUUAGAUACCCUGGUAGU
rnacentral:rRNA from 1 species